AACGAACGCUGGCGGCAGGCUUAACACAUGCAAGUCGAACGGGUGCAGCAAUGCAUCAGUGGCAGACGGGUGAGUAACACGUGGGAACCUUCCUAGGGGUACGGAACAACUCAGGGAAACUUGAGCUAAUACCGUAUACGUCCGUGAGGAGAAAGAUUUAUCGCCCUUAGACGGGCCCGCGUCGGAUUAGCUAGUUGGUGGGGUAACGGGCCUACCAAGGCGACGAUCCGUAGCUGAUCUUAGAGGAUGAUCAGCCACACUGGGACUGAGACACGGCCCAGACUCCUACGGGAGGCAGCAGUGGGGAAUCUUGGACAAUGGGCGCAAGCCUGAUCCAGCCAUGCCGCGUGAGUGAAGAAGGUCUUCGGAUUGUAAAGCUCUUUUGCCAGGGACGAUAAUGACGGUACCUGGAGAAUAAGCCCCGGCAAACUUCGUG
rnacentral:rRNA from 1 species